CCUCUAGAUGAGGAAGAAUUGAUUGCAUAUAUUGUAAAUGGCCUAGAUGGUGAUUAUGAUCCUUUUGUUUCAUCGCUUGGGAUGAGGGUUGAACCCAUCUCAAUAACCGAGCUAUAUGCUCAGCUGUUAAAUUUUGAGA
rfam:Oryza rufipogon genomic scaffold, chr04